CUUGGCAUGCCUGGAAUCCUGCAGAGAUGUGGGAGUGCUCGAAAGAGAGCCAGGACACAGGUGCUGCAUGGCCGUCGUCAGCUCGUGUCGUGAGAUGUUGGGUUAAGUCCCGCAACGAGCGCAACCCUUGUCAUUAGUUGCUACGAAAGGGCACUCUAAUGAGACUGCCGGUGACAAACCGGAGGAAGGUGGGGAUGACGUCAGGUCAUCAUGGCCCUUAUGGGUAGGGCUACACACGUCAUACAAUGGCCGGUACAGAGGGCUGCCAACCCGCGAGGGGGAGCCAAUCCCAGAAAACCGGUCGUAGUCCGGAUCGCAGUCUGCAACUCGACUGCGUGAAGUCGGAAUCGCUAGUAAUCGCGGAUCAGCUUGCCGCGGUGAAUACGUUCCCGGGUCUUGUACACACCGCCCGUCACACCAUGGGAGCGGGUUCUGCCAGAAGUAGUUAGCCUAACCGCAAGGGGGGCGAUUACCACGGCAGGGUUCGUGACUGGGGUGAAGUCGUAACAAGGUAGCCGUAUCGGAAGGUGCGGCUGGAUCACCUCCUU
rnacentral:rRNA from 1 species